GCCAUUAACCAAAGGGCUGAGUGGUUAAAGCGAUGGACUGCUAAUCCAUUGUGCUCUGCACCCAUGGGUUCGAAUCCCAUUCUGAUCGGCU
rnacentral:tRNA from 1 species